UAGUAGUAGUAGUAGUAGUAGCAGUAGCAGUAGCAGUAGCAGUAGCAGUUGGAGCAGCAGCAGCAGCAGCGCCGGCGCGGGCGGCGGCGGCGGCGGCGGCGGGGGCGGGCGGGCGGCGGGCGGCGGCGGCGGGCGGCGGCAGCGGGCGGCGGCAGCGGCAGCGGCAGCGGCAGUGGCAGCAGCAGCAGCAGGAGCAGCAGCAGCAGCAGCAGCAGCAGGAGCAGCAGCAGCAGCAGCAGCAGCAGGAGCAGUAGUGCAGCAGCAGCAGCAGUAGGAGCAGCAGCAGGAGCAGUAGCAGCAGCAGCAGGAGCAGCAGGAGCAGUAGCAGCAGCAGCAGGAGCAGCAGGAGCAGCAGGAGCAGCAGUAGCAGCAGUAGCAGAAGCAGCAGUAGCAGCAGCACCAGUAGUAGCAGUAGUAGCAGAAGUAGUAGUAG
rnacentral:lncRNA from 1 species